rnacentral:lncRNA from 1 species
GAGAAAGAAGCAACAUCUCACGAGCUGCUGGUUCCUCUUGAUGCCAUUCUGACUGGGGCAGAACAGGAGUGUGAGCUGCCAUCCCGGCUGACGACACUGCCUCACAUCCCCGUCCCUGUCCUCACCCCUGCCUUCUGGCCCGGCCAGGACUUCUAGCUUUCCCCAUUCAUCUUCCGUGGACCAAUCUUGGCACAACCUCUCAGACGUGGCCUGACCUCACCUAGCGGCCAGUCGGCACCAUGGCUUCCGCCGAGCCCCUGACGGCGCUGUCCCGCUGGUACCUGUACGCCAUCCACGGCUACUUCUGCGAGGUGAUGUUCACGGCGGCCUGGGAGUUCGUGGUGAACUUUAACUGGAAGUUCCCGGGGGUCACGAGCGUGUGGGCGCUCUUCAUCUACGGCACGUCCAUCCUCAUCGUGGAGCGCAUGUACCUGCGCCUGCGUGGCCGCUGCCCGCUGCUGCUGCGCUGCCUCAUCUACACGCUCUGGACCUACCUGUGGGAGUUCACCACCGGCUUCAUCCUGCGCCAGUUCAACGCCUGCCCCUGGGACUACUCCCAGUUCGACUUUGACUUCAUGGGCCUCAUCACCCUGGAGUACGCUGUGCCCUGGUUCUGCGGGGCCCUCCUCGUGGAGCAGUUCGUCAUCCGCAACACCCUCCGCCUCCGCUUCGACAAGGAUGCUGAGCCCGGGGAGCCCAGCGGUGCCCUGGCCCUGGCCAAUGGCCACGUCAAGACUGACUGAGUUGCGGGGGGAGCUGCUGGGUUGGGGCCCCCGGGGGCUCUCAUGGACCCUGUGGACAAGGGUACCAAGCUGGUGGGGUUGCCCCCUCUGUACAGCACAAGCCCCGCCCAAUGGGAGAGCACACGGAAUACCCCCGGACCCUCCGCUGUGGGCGGGGUUGGAGGCAUGGUCAGGUGUUGGGGGCGGCAAAGGAACCUGGGGUAGAGUGCGUGGAUCUCAGCCCAGCUCAGGGGCCGGAGGCGGGAGGCCUGUGGUUACGCAGCAACUGGAUUUAUGUGGGUGACUUUGGAGGCAGCAGGCCCUGUCUUGGCGAAGGUCCAUUGCUGGCAGUGGACAGAGAGAUCCUAACUGCAGCCCACUUCCAGCUCUGCCGCCUCCCCCAGGGGAGGGCUCCAGCGAACGCAGCCUAUCCUGCGGAACACGGUCUCUUCUUGACCACCCUAGGACUCUUAGGAUGGAAAUCUGGUGGAAACAGACAACAGCUUGUUGAUGUCUCCCAGCCCAAGGCCUCUGUGAUUCUCUCCCAGAGCCAGCCCUUGGAUGGCCCACCGGAAGGUGACCAUCUGCACUCUGUGUUACCCUGGCAACUUUCUAAUUGUUCAGCAGAAGAUGCAACAUCCCAGGCUUUGGAGUCAUUAGACCUGAGUUUGAAUCUCAGGGCCCUGACUCACUUGGAUGUGUGAUGUAACCUAUCUAUGCUUCAGUCUCCCAUCUGAAAAUGGGGCUAAUAUUAGUCUGCACCUCCCAGAGUCAUGGGGAUCAGAUGAGACAAUAUUUGUCAAGUGCUUGGCAUGCAGUUGAUGUCACAUAUGAGAAGAAAUAUUCUUUGUUGGUCUCAUAAGUCAAAUACAAGCAGAUGUCACUCCACCACAUAUUUCUGGACUCCUGCUGAUCUGGUCAUGGUGGCCAAAAUCAUGGGCUUUGAAUGCUCCCAAUCUGAACUGGGUCACUUAUUAUCAAUGGAAAAGCACAUAAACCUCUAUACACACAAGUUUUCUCAUUUGUAAAGUGGGAAUGAUCUAACGUACUCUAAAGGAUUAUUCUGAAAAUUAAGUUAAAUAAAAUUAUGUGUCUAAACA